ACAGAGGGUGCAAGCGUUAAUCGGAUUUACUGGGCGUAAAGCGUGCGUAGGUGGUCUGUUAAGUCAGGCGUGAAAUCCUCGGGCUCAACCCGAGAACUGCGUUUGAUACUGAUAGACUCGAGUGUGGUAGAGGAUAGUGGAAUUCCCGGUGUAGCGGUGAAAUGCGUAGAUAUCGGGAGGAACAUCAGUGGCGAAGGCGGCUAUCUGGACCAACACUGACACUGAGGUACGAAAGCGUGGGUAGCAAACAGGAUUAGAUACCCUGGUAGUCCACGCCCUAAACGAUGGGAACUAGACGUCGGGAAGCUUGUCUUCUUGGUGUCGCAGCUAACGCAAUAAGUUCCCCGCCUGGGGAGUACGGUCGCAAGAUUA
rnacentral:rRNA from 1 species